rnacentral:rRNA from 1 species
CAAUAGCGUAUAUUAAAGUUGUUGCGGUUAAAAAGCUCGUAGUUGGAUUUCUGCCGAGGACGACCGGUCCGCCCUCUGGGUGAGUAUCUGGCUCGGCCUGGGCAUCUUCUUGGAGAACGUAGCUGCACUUGACUGUGUGGUGCGGUAUCCAGGACUUUUACUUUGAGGAAAUUAGAGUGUUUCAAGCAGGCUUACGCCUUGAAUACAUUAGCAUGGAAUAAUAAGAUAGGACCUCGGUUCUAUUUUGUUGGUUUCUAGAGCUGAGGUAAUGAUUAAUAGGGAUAGUUGGGGGCAUUCGUAUUUCAUUGUCAGAGGUGAAAUUCUUGGAUUUAUGAAAGACGAACUUCUGCGAAAGCAUUUGCCAAGGAUGUUUUCAUUAA